rnacentral:rRNA from 1 species
GCAAAAAAGCUAGCUUAACCACAACAAAAAAUUACCAAACAUAGAUUACAAAACACACACAACCCAAAAUAAAACAUUUUACCGCCCAAGUAUAGGCGAUAGAAAAGGACACAUUUAAAGCUAUAGAAAAAGUACCGCAAGGGAAAGCUGAAAGAGAAGUGAAACAACCCAUAACAGCACAAAAAAGCAGAGAUUAACCCUCGUACCUUUUGCAUCAUGAUUUAGCAAGUAAAAUUCAAGCAAGAAGAACCGUAGUUUGAACCCCCGAAACUAGACGAGCUACUCCGGGGCAGUCUCAAAGGACCAACCCGUCUCUGUGGCAAAAGAGUGGGAAGACCCCCGAGUAGAGGUGAAAAGCCUACCGAGCCUAGUUAUAGCUGGUUGCUUAAGAAAUGAAUGUUAGUUCAGCCUUAUAUGAUUCUUAAACCAAAAAUAAAACAAGGACAAAGCAACGUAUAAGAGUUAGUCAGAGGGGGUACAGCUCCUCUGAAAAAGAACACAACCUUAUUAAGGUGAACAAGGAUCAUAGACUAAAAAGGACAUUAAAUUUCUCAGUGGGCCCAAAAGCAGCCACCUGAACAGAAAGCGUUAUAGCUCAGAAAAAAUAAUACCAAUAAUAAAGAUGAUAUUUUCCUAAUUCCCUAAUUAUAUUAAGCCAUCCUAUUCUAAUAGAAGAGAUAAUGCUAAAAUUAGUAAUAAGAAGAUGUCAUGAUCUUCUCCAAGCACAUGUGUAAGUCAGAUCGGACCAACCACUGACAAUUAACGGACCCAACAAAAGAGGGUAGAACAAUAAAACAAAAAUACAAGAAAAGCUUGAAAAAACAACCGUUACCCCGACACAGGAGUGCCCCAAGGAAAGACUAAAAGGAAUAGAAGGAACUCGGCAAACACAAACCCCGCCUGUUUACCAAAAACAUCGCCUCUUGCUAACAAAAUGUAUUAGAGGUCCCGCCUGCCCUGUGACAGAGUUUAACGGCCGCGGUAUCCUGACCGUGCGAAGGUAGCGUAAUCACUUGUCUUUUAAAUGAAGACCUGUAUGAAUGGCAUAACGAGGGUUUAACUGUCUCCUACCCCCAGUCAAUGAAAUUGAUCUGCCCGUGCAGAAGCGGACAUAAAAACAUAAGACGAGAAGACCCUAUGGAGCUUUAGGCUAAAGAUCACGCAUGUUAAGAAACUUCAACAAACAAAAAGUUACACAAACCAAAUGUAAAUUGAUCCUAAUGCCUUCGGUUGGGGCGACCACGGGGAAAAAAGAAACCCCCACAUGGAAUGGAAACAUCUCCCUAAACUUAGAGAAACCCCUCCAAGUAACAGAACAUCUGACCAAAAAUGACCCAGGGCCAAAAACACCCUGAUCAAUGAACCAAGUUACCCUAGGGAUAACAGCGCAAUCCUUUCCCAGAGCCCAUAUCGACGAAAGGGUUUACGACCUCGAUGUUGGAUCAGGACAUCCUGAUGGUGCAGCCGCUAUUAAGGGUUCGUUUGUUCAACGAUUAACAGUCCUACGUGAUCUGAGUUCAGACCGGAGUAAUCCAGGUCGGUUUCUAUCUAUGAAAUUGCUUCUUCCCAGUACGAAAGGACAGGAAAAAGAGGGCCUAUACUAAAAGCAAGCCCUACCCCUACCUUCUGAAAACAAAUAAAAAAGUUAAAGGGGGAAACAAACACUGCCAAAGAUAAUGGCAC